AUCACACUACAUUGUAAAUCGAAUGAUGCCUCUAUAAAAAUCAUAUAUUUGUGACAUCAAACUUUUUUCUGCCAUAAAGCAAUGGUCAAACUACGGGUAAAUGUUUGUAAUUCACUUUCAACAAAUGGAAACCAAAAAGGUUUUAAAGUAAAGACACUGUGAAUACUCCUCAUCUACCUCAACACAGGUAGUUUCCACUGUAUAUACGUAAGUAAAUGUGAUUAUAACUGAGUGAAAAUUGUACAGCAGGGCUUUAGCUCCAGUUCAGGAGGGUCAGCGUCCUCCAACCUUUAGAUGUCUCUUCUUUAACGCACCUGAGUCAAAUCAUGAGGUCAGAGGUCAUUAGCACGACUCUGGAGAACUUGACUCCCCUAAGCAGCCAUUUAAUUCAGUUGCGUUGGACCAGAAAGUAUCUAAAUGUUGCAGGAAACCAGAAAUCAAUGCCUGGAUCUGGUAGAUGCAGCAGCCAGUCAAAAGCUGCCUAAUUGAGCUGCUGGUAAGAUGUGUGCUAAUGCUACCUCUCACUCUCAGUAAUGUUUAUAACGUUACAAAUAGUUCUCACAGUUUUUGUGCUGCAUAAAAAUAUAAUGUUAAGUGUCUUUAAGUGUUUUAAAAACUUUGGGUUUGGUUAAAAUUAAACUGUUACUCUUAUAAAGUUUGUCUGAAGUUUUCCCUCCAAAAUGUGUUUGUUGGGCCGCAGACUGUGACUGUGUGUACCAUACCCGGUGAUUGAGUGUGUCCCACACUGUGUCUUAUAGAAUAUGUCCUUUAUGCAUUCUUUUACAUAAAGGAGAAGCUGCCUAACUGAGCUGCUGGGAUCUGACUGUGACUGUGUGUACCAUACCUGGUGGUUGAGUGUGUCCCACACUGUCUUAUAGGAAUAAACUGACACAGAUCCUGA